AUUGAACGCUGGCGGCGUGCCUAAUACAUGCAAGUAGGACGCAGUUGCGAACGGGUGAGUAACGCGUAGGUAACUGCCUAGUAGAGGGGGAUAACUAUUGGAAACGAUAGCUAAUACCGCAUACUCGUAGAUGGACCUUCGUUGUAUUAGCUAGUAGGUAGGGUAAUGGCCUACCUAGGCGACGAUACAUAGCCGACCUGAGAGGGGGAUCGGCCACACUGGGACUGAGACACGGCCCAGACUCCUACGGGAGGCAGCAGUAGGGAAUCUUCGGCAAUGGGGGGAACCCUGACCGAGCAACGCCGCGGGAGUGAAGAAGGUUUUCGGAUCGUAAAGCUCUGUUGUUAAGGAAGCGGUACUUAACCAGAAAGGGACGGCUAACUACGUGCCAGCAGCCGCGGUAAUUC
rnacentral:rRNA from 1 species